rnacentral:lncRNA from 1 species
UGGGUUGUCGAGCAACCUCUCGGUGGCUGGAAACUGUAGUCACUCUGGCUGCUCUGGCCCCUGGAGCCUCCGGAGGGGAGGUCGUGUGUGGGGACAGCCUGUGUCCGUCCUCCGAGAGAAAGGAGGAAGGGGCUGACUCACCAGGGAGACAGCAGGAUGGAAGUGGGGCGCAAGCACAGUGCCUUUCCCCUGGCCCUGGGACCCCGCCAGGGUGGCCGAGUGUAGGUCAUGGCCUCUCAUCCAACCUUUGAGCCCCGUGAGGGACAGGGGUCCAGUGCAGAGGCUCCUGGGUCUGUGAGACGGUAGCGCUCCUCACCCCACCAGCAGGCGCUUCUGGGCCCCCACUCCUCCCUGCUCAGACUCCAUCCCAUUACCAACAGACGGCUUGGUUGUAUGAUUGAAGGAGAGCUCCUGUCCCCUCCGCCUCAGCUCUGGACCCACAAGCCUUCUUGCUCCUUGUCAUGGGCCCCUGCCUCAGGGCCUUUGCACUUGUGGUUCCCUCUGCCCGCUACUCCCCUCCCAGAUGUCUGCAUGGCUGACACGUUCUGACUCUUUAGGUCUCAGCUUAAAUGUCGCCUUCUCUGAGAGGCCUGCUGUGCAGUCUUGUCCCCAGAGAUUCACUGGGACAUUCCUCUUUCUUCCUUUCCAGGCACUGUCUGGCACGAUGUCCUGGUCUAUUGGUUUGUGCUGCAUGAUAGCAGGACCCGGGUCCCUCUUGUUCACUCUGUCCCUGUCCCUGCAUGUGUGUGGCCCCAGGACGGAUUCAGGAGGCACCAGUGGGACACAGACUAGCAAGGGAGGCUUGGCGAAGAGACGACAGAAAAUGGAAGCCUCAGCAGGAGACAGGCGGAGCCUUAGCCACCAUGCUGCCCCCUGCGACACUGCUCAGAGAUCUUUCUAA